GUGUGUGUGUGCGCGCGAGAAGGAGAUGGAUGGAAAAAAAAACAUGGGUUCAGAUUCAAUUCAAAUGCCCCAAUUCAGACACAAAAUUCAAACUAGGCCUUUUUUUUUUU